UUAAUUUAUGUGGCAAAACAUUUCUAUAGGAACCUAAACCCAAACCGAAACCCAUCUCCCUCAUUUUCCAUUCUCUCUCCUCAGGGUGAGUCUCUGUCUCCUCAUCCUUGCUCUCUGCUCCGCCGCUCCACCGGCGCCGUACUCCCUUCUCCUCCGCAUGCACGGCUGAUGUCGUGUGUUGCUAGUAAUGUUGUUGAUCUAUCUCUGCCCGUUUUCUUGCUCCGCCUUCCCCUCCUCCCUCGCAACACCGCCACUACCACCGCCACUGGUGGCCAUGGACAUCACUUUCAUCAUGCUCCAUCUUCCAAAUGGUAAUCUAUUCAUUUUCCCCUUCUAGUGGAUUAAAUUAAAUUGAAUCAAAGAUCCCAAAUUAAGCUAAAACCCUAACUCAAAUUUUCUCUCUCCUCUGAGUUGUAGCCACCACCGCCGCCUCCACGGCUGGCCGUCUAGCCGGUCGGUGUUGCAAUUGGCUUUCGCAAGUGGUUGUUGAUUAUUGUUGUAGCUGACUUGUCUGGUCCCUCAUUCCUUCUCUACUUCUUGUUCCGGUGCACCAUCGCCGCCCCUUCGCCGCCUCCCCCUUCGCUGCUGCUUGCGGCGAUUCUGAUCCCCAGGCGUCGUUGUUGCUGUUGUUGUUCCUGAUCUUGUUGUUGCCGAAAUUCCUGCUUGCUCUUCCAUUUUUCUUAUGGAGUUAAAAUGUUUUGCAGGUAGAGAGAAUCGGGUCUCAGUUCAGAUUCAAGAAGUGUACAGUCCUCCAGAGGCCUUAUAUGUUUCAAGGCGGGCAUAUGGAUUCUCCAAGUGUAUUUAAGUCCUUCCUAAUUUAUUAAUGGGUUGUAUUAUUUCUUUCUAGAGUUUCUUUUAUAUCCUUAUUGAGUUGGUGUCACUCUAAUGGUGUUUUGGGAAAUGUUAUAUGCUGGAAUGAUGUAAUAGCAGGUGAAAGAGAAUCAGACGUAAUUUCCUAAACAGUGUUUUAGGUCGUCCAUAUUUAGGGGAAGUGCUGCCGAAUUUUUUUUUAGCAACUAAUUAAAGUUUAAGGGUCUGGAUUAGUGUCCUUGGGAUAGGCUAAACCCAUGAUUAAAUCCUUGAAGUUUUUUUAAGAGUUAAAGUUUGUUUAGCCGGGUUUAUCGUUGUAAUUACGUUAGAGUUUGUUUAAAUUAAGACUAAGUGUGUUUUAGAAAGCAGCUCGUUAUGUGCGGGUUGUUACACUCUCAACCGAUAUGAGAAAGUCUAAGUAAUGAAUGCUUUAACUAAGUAUAAAGCUAGGCUGUUAUUACUAAAGUUAAACAUGAAGAACCUUGAAGAGGUGCCUUCACCUUAUAUCACAUGGCAAUGCCAAGAUUUUAGCAAGAUUCAGUAUCUCUUGAAACAGAAUAAACCUAAAAGUUACAUGGAUAGAUUUUGAAAUGCGAAUGGUUUUUGCAUUACAAUAAAUCAUGUAUGAUGUGAUAUAUACAUCGCCAAGAUAACUUGUGAACAUUAGAUCAUAACGAGUUUAUACCAAUCUCUAUUGAUCUAGAUCAAAUAUGAUUAGAACAAUAUCAAGAACAUCCAACACAUUUGGAUAUGUAGGAUGAGCACUUGAUAAGAGGAAGUGAAGAUGAACUAAAGUUUUGAUGCUACAUGCGCUUGCCUAAGCAAAAGUUGAACCUUGUUGUUAGGCAAACCACAAACAUACACGGGCAAUUAGGCGUCGUGAUUAAAAGGUGGUAACAUAGGUUCUAAACCAUAUGUGAUGCAUGGGAAACUGAAUCAAUGAUUAGUUUCCAAGUUCUCUGUUGAAAUAUGUAUCUCCCACAUCUCUGUAAACUGGUUGGAGUAUUUCAAAAGGAUAGCAUCAUUUGGAAUUCUACAUAAUUGAAAUGAAUUCAUUAUUGCCUAAGAAGAAAUGAAAGGGAAUUGUUUCUAGUGGGAGUUCUUCAAUGAAUGAUCACAAGUCUUCUAUCUAGAUGAUUUUCUAUUUUAAAUGUCAUUAUCAUUCUAAACAGCAAUGAGAGACUAGAUCAUUCUAUAAUCACAUUCAAAGAUCUUUUUAUCUUACAUCGAAAGGCUUUCGAUAGAAAAGAUGCUAAGAAUAGCAAAGUAUGAUAAACUAAACCUCUGCAUCGAAUGAGAUACAACACUCAUAUGCAGACAUGGAAUCAAGUUUGAUUUCCAUGAAUGUUUUAAGUAUUGGGUGAAAGGCUUAUAUCUGCAAAACAUUAAAUGCUUGAUUUUGGGUUAGAAGCCCACGGAUUGGUAAGCAUUUAGUUUAAACAUUUAUCAUUUACGAAAUUAUAUUUCAUUUAAUCUUGGUUUAGUAUUAAAUGAUGAAGUCCAAGUGAUUCAAACCAUUCAAAUGGGAUGUCAAGAUGGAUUAUAAGUGAACUUGAAUAUUGAAUCACAAAAGGAUCCCUAAUCCAGGUCAUUGAAAGGUUGGACGACCAAUGAUUAAUGAAGAUUAGAUUGCAAGUUGAUUUGUAGUUCUGUUUCUUGAACUAGAUGGGCUGGAUGUCAAAAAUCAUUUGCAUAGAUACUUAUUGGAUCUUGUAUCGGAUUGACCAUGAGAACACUUUAAGAGAUUAAAGUCAUGUCAUAAGUAGUUCUCAUUAAUGGUUAUUGGAACCUAUUCCUCAGAACCUGAGUAGUUAUGGCUGCUUGUUUGAGAAUUAGUUCGCUUUAAUGCUCGCAAAACGUCACACCGUAAAAGGAGGCUAUAAAAGCAGUUAUUGGGCGUACAAUGAAUCAAAGGGAGUGUUCAUAUAUUGCAAGAAUGGAUUGUCCUCCUAUCUUUGAUAGGACAUGGUUUUGUUGUGUAACAAGGCCUCUCGGAGAGUUAGAUACUGUGAAAAUGCAUGGCCGUGCUCAGAAUGGUUAAGGCUUAACCUUCUAUAAAAGUUUAACAAUUGAACUCAGUAAUCCGAGAAACACUUCUGGACCUAAUAAGGAUGGCUUGGAUCUUAACUAUGCUCAGCAAGUAAUACUAAGCGACAAAGGAAUGUGAAUGCACACUUAUGUUUUUCACCAAAGGUGUCCUUCACCAAAGGUGCAUUAGUCUAAUACCAAGGUUCAGAUUAAUUACGAACAAUUAACCAUAUGCACACUUAUGUUUUUCCAACCCUAACCUAAUUCUAUUUACGUAAGUUCAUUUUUGCCUCAGUUCAUAACUGUUCUUCCCAAAAGCUAAACACUCUUGAGCAUUGUCUAAGCUAUGAAUAUCAAGACGGAUCUGGACGUGUCGGUGAACCAAAUAGAGGAACGAAGAUUGGAGUUCUUUGUUCGUGUUCGUGAAUCGAUAAACUAGGAAAAUAACGCUUCGAAUGUAAGUUUUCUUAAUCUGUGCUUUAUACAUAUUUCCUGGCUUUGGGGAUUGUUUCCGCACAUGUUAAUAUGUAUUUAACUGUAUUCCCCUACAUCUAGUUCUUGUGUGCUCUUGUUGUAAAAAAAAAAAAAGUGGUGCAUUGACAACACUAUUAGGUAUAAUCCUUUCUUUUCGAUGGCUGUCAUCCCUCAAGUCAUUUAUAAUCGAGUAGAAGCUCAUGAAGAAGAUAAGGCAGAAUCACCCAUCCCAUACCAAAAGCCUAUGCUCACCGACAACACUAUCAUGUACAAUACGAAGCGCAUGCAUUGGCACUGUACCAAGCUCGGAUUCUGAAGUGUUUUCCAAUUUCUAGAGUAUUUUGUUUUUCAAUUUCAGUAGCAGUAUUUUGUUUUUUCUGAUUCAAACUUUCCUUGCUAAUUUGUUAAACAUAUUCUUUAGUUUUUAAUUUUUUUCUUGAUAAUUUGCUAAAUUAACCCCAAAAGAAUCUUUAUAAUUCAAAUGUUUAAUGUAAAGGUUGAAUAUUUUCAUGAUUUUCAUUUAAAUAAUGUGUUUUUUAGGGGAAUUUCUGAUGAAGAAGGAAGAAGAUGGUGGUGGGAAGAACUCAUUAAUGGAGGUAGUACAAUUAGAGAUAGAUAUGGAGAAGAAGAAGAUUAGGGAAGAGAUCAUUGCUUCGCAGAUCAUUCGACGCCGAUAACUCGAAGCCGAUGUUAGAAUAGAGGUUAUGAUGGAGGAACAAAUCAUGAGUAUGAUGCGUUUUUAUAGAGAUUCUAAUUAUUUUGAUCAUUGGAAGUACAUUUUUCAAUAUUUUUGCAUUUUCAUAAAGUCGAACAGAUAAAAGUUGGGCUUAACACUUGAAAAACAAUAUAACGACAUGUCAAACACCUUGACCCAAUCGGCAGUAC